rfam:Populus trichocarpa isolate Nisqually-1 chromosome 1, whole genome shotgun sequence.
UAAUCUGUUUGGGGAAGAUCUUCAUUUAGUUAUGACAGACUCACACUUGACUAGUCAGAAUUACCCACUAUAGUGUGAACAAUAAUUUUUUGAGAUUUUGAUUGGAGU